AUUGAACGCUGGCGGCAUGCCUUACACAUGCAAGUCGAACGGCAGCACGGGUGCUUGCACCUGGUGGCGAGUGGCGAACGGGUGGGUAAUACAUCGGAACAUGUCCUGUAGUGGGGGAUAGCCCGGCGAAAGCCGGAUUAAUACCGCAUACGAUCUACGGAUGAAAGCGGGGGACCUUCGGGCCUCGCGCUAUAGGGUUGGCCGAUGGCUGAUUAGCUAGUUGGUGGGGUAAAGGCCUACCAAGGCGACGAUCAGUAGCUGGUCUGAGAGGACGACCAGCCACACUGGGACUGAGACACGGCCCAGACUCCUACGGGAGGCAGCAGUGGGGAAUUUUGGACAAUGGGCGAAAGCCUGAUCCAGCAAUGCCGCGUGUGUGAAGAAGGCCUUCGGGUUGUAAAGCACUUUUGUCCGGAAAGAAAUCCUUGGCCCUAAUACGGUCGGGGGAUGACGGUACCGGAAGAAUAAGCACCGGCUAACUACGU
rnacentral:rRNA from 1 species